rnacentral:tRNA from 1 species
GGUUGUGGCUCAAUGGUAGAGCACUUGCCUAAUAUGUGUGAGGCCCUGAGUUUGAUUCUCAACACCA